UACGAAGGGUGCGAGCGUUAAUCGGAAUUACUGGGCGUAAAGCGUGCGUAGGCGGCCUUGUAAGUCGGAUGUGAAAGCCCCGGGCUCAACCUGGGAAUGGCAUUCGAGACUGCGGGGCUGGAGUUUGGGAGAGGGUGGUGGAAUUCCCGGUGUAGCGGUGAAAUGCGUAGAGAUCGGGAGGAACAUCAGUGGCGAAGGCGGCCACCUGGCCUAAAACUGACGCUGAGGCACGAAAGCGUGGGGAGCAAACAGG
rnacentral:rRNA from 1 species